CAGAACGACAUCUCGGAACGCACGACUCGUCGGUCCUUGUCACGGAUGGGCUAUUGCAGGAGACGACCACACUGGGUUCAACUCUUAUCAGCUAAAAACAAGAAGAUCACCAACACUGGACAACUGAGGAGUGGAAAAACAUUGCCUGGUCGGACAAUUCCUGGUUCCUGUUGCGUCAUGCAGAUGGUAGAGUCAGGAUUUGGCGUAAGCAGCAUGAGUCCAUGGCCUCAUCCUGCCUGGUGUCAAAGAACAGUCUCAAUUCGUCGGGGCAUGGACUCUAAAAGGUGGAGGAAGCGUUCCACAGUGACAUCAAUAAGGGAUCACAGCGUUCACCUGGAUUCACCUGGUCAGUCUGUCUUGGAAAGAGCAGGUGUUAUUAAUGUUCUGUACGCUCAGGGUAGCACAAACACAUAACUCUAGCUCAUGCCAUCUUUACUCUAAUAUCAAUUAAUGUUGUCUGUGUACUUUUGGACUCCUUGUGCUGCUCUGGGACUUACUGGAGAAUUUAGCACAAUCUGUUUAUUACAGUAUCCUGCUGUGCUAGCACUUUGAA